CAGAUGUGAAAGACCCGGGGCGUCAACCUCCGGAAUAGCAUUUGUAAACUAGGCAGACUAGAGUACUGUAGAGGGGGGUAGGAAGUUUCUAGGUGUAGCGGUGAAAUAGCGUAGAGAUCUGAAGGAAUACCGGUGGCGAAGGCGGCCCCCUCGGACAGAUACUGACACUCAGAUGCGAAAGCGUGGGGAGCAAACAGGAUUAGAUACCCCUGGUAG
rnacentral:rRNA from 1 species